GAUGAACGCUAGCGGCAGGCUUAACACAUGCAAGUCGAGGGGUAGGUUACUUCGGUAAUUGAGACCGGCGCACGGGUGCGUAACGCGUAUACAAUCUACCUUUUACAGAGGGAUAGCCCAGAGAAAUUUGGAUUAAUACCUCAUAGUAUGUGAGGAUGGCAUCAUUUUCACAUUAAAGUCACAACGGCAAAAGAUGAGCAUGCGUCCCAUUAGCUAGUUGGUAAGGUAACGGCUUACCAAGGCUACGAUGGGUAGGGUCCUGAGAGGGAGAUCCCCCACACUGGUACUGAGACACGGACCAGACUCCUACGGGAGGCAGCAGUGAGGAAUAUUGGACAAUGGCGCAAGCCUGAUCCAGCCAUG
rnacentral:rRNA from 1 species